AUAUGCUUCACCAAUGAAGUUCGCAAAUCGCUCCGCUUAAAAUUUUAAAAAGAAUUAGACACUUACCAAAAGAUCCUGCACCUCCAAUAAUAUCUUUAAUCUUCUUUCCGCCGUCGAAUUCAAUUUCAUCUAUAAUAAACAUGCCUUGCAUUCGUUAGCACUUAUAUGUGAAAGUUUUUACCAGUUGUGACGAAUUCCACAUCUUUCGAAGGAU